rnacentral:snoRNA from 1 species
ACCCUCCGGUUCCCUUUCCCAUCGGAUCUGAACACCGAUCUUGGAUGUAAAGGAGGAAAAGUAAUAGUGAAGCUGGCCUCACAGGGCUUAUAGUUUGUGGGCUAGUUUCAAACAAGG